rnacentral:lncRNA from 1 species
UAUCAGUUGAUACACGUUAAACAUAGAUUGAUACAUUUGUUUCUUUAUAUGUACUGAUUGCUUGAUGAAAUUGUCAUGAGCAGAGUCUCCCAGGAACCUAACCCCUAUUUUCCCUAUGAGCAAUGGUUCACUUCCCACUGCGUCCCUCCCAUGACACAUGGGAACUGUGGGAGCUACAAUUCAAGAUGAGAUUUGGGUGGGGACACAGCCAAAUCACAUCAGCAGGGAACACAAUUCAACCCCAUAGCACUGGGGAUUCACUGGAGUUUCAUAAGGUUCCCAAGGACUCAUGGCGGUGACCAGA